UAAUAAAUGCUAUUAUAUUCGGGCUUACAACCCGAAGGUCGUAGGUUCAAAUCCUGC
rnacentral:tRNA from 1 species